ensembl:lincRNA
UUAGUCAUGGUGGUAUUUGCUUAGCAAGCUCUCCUUCCAUGAAUGAUAUUUAUUCGUAAUUUUCAGUAGCCACAGCUCAUUUCCUUUGUAUCUAGGUCGUUGCAAGAGAAAGAGCUUUAAAGUUAUCUGAAUACAGGAUUAAUACUGGAUUGUUUCUUUUUUAAAGUUAUAGAUGUGGUGGUAAAAAUGUGUUUGUAGUGCAUGGAUCCAGCCUCAUCACCAUUCCAAUGACGAUAAUAACCAACACUACUAUAGAAGCUAACAUUUCUAACAUUACUAUGUGCUAGGCAUUAUUCUAAGCAUUUUGCAUAUAUAUGAUAUCUAGAAAAUGUUAUUUUUUGAAACAACUUUCCUUAUUUGCUUCCCUAUCAAGGCCCAGAAUAUGAUGAAACAUCAACAAAAGAAGGAAUCUAGAUGUCACUAGUCCAAUCCCCAACUUUCCCGAUAAGUCUCAGAGAGUAUAUGUGCCUUACUGAAAGUCACACAGCUAUUAGUAGUAGUCAGAUCCUCCGGCCUCUGGGCAGGAAACGUACGGAGCACUUCAAACAUCUGAACAAGAACAAGCUGACAGCCAGGAUCAAGAAAGCAGAUCCCUGGAGAGAUGCCCUUUCAACCCUCAUCUCUGCUAAAUGCCUGUCGGAUCCCAGCAGCAGAGACCAUUAGAUGAUUGGAUUUAUUUAGAACAGACUAUGAUGGAGGCCUGUUAGGGUUGGCGAAAAGAAUUCUGGCCAAAUCUUCCAGGUUAGAAGACAAAUGACAGCUCCUCCCAGAGAUAUUCCGAUGACAAAGCACAGCAACCAUCCUACAGAGGGUUAAUAUUCCCCCCUCCUUUGCCCCCCAAAUUGCUGUCAGAGAUCAGCUAAUCUGAUAAUUACGGCAACAAACACAGUUUAGACAAACAAGACCUGACCCUGAGGGUUUGGAAUGAAAACAUUUACUCUCUCCCUCCCCAGAGAGACGGUGCCUGGAGCGUACACACAGAGAGACACUGGGAAAAUACCCUUGUGCUGGAGCAACAGGGUGAAAACAUCUGUGUCCCGCGCAGCUUAGGAAGAUAACGCGAAGGCAGCGGGGGAGGCAGGAGGAGAGGGGCACGGUGCAGUCCAAGGGCGUGCGUGUUUGGAGCAGAUGGAAAAUGUACCCAUAACUGGAGAUGUAAGCGAAUUGGAAUUGAUUUUACGACAGAGACAGAUUUGAGAGGAAAGGUACAAAGGAGACUGAUGCAGGAUUCGAGUGAAAACCUGGGGAACGGCUAAAGGAGGAGAAACAGCUUAAAACACCAAAGUAAGAUUUAUUCCUGAGAGCUGGAGGGGAAGGAUAUUCCAAGUGGUCCAUGAUUCUAAGAGAAUUUAUUAAUAAUAUCUGCUCUCAGCGAAUUCGAACAGGCUAUAUCGUCUGGUCAUCCUUUUCUCGCCCCCAGUUUUGCUUCUAAACUGAACAACAUGCCCUUUCCGCCUCCACGCCUGCCUCAAAAUUUGUCAAGCUGUUUUCCCUCCUUUUACUUCUAAAAUGCAACUUCCUAGAAGCAACUUCCCUGGGUUGCUUAAACCGGAGAUUCUGACUUAAGCCUGCCUCAACCUGGAAUUCCAACAGUUACUCCUCUCACAAUCCCACCCUCACGUUGUUCCCCACGUAUCCCUGUCCUAGUGCCAAACAAUAUGUCGCUUUUACACGUGGCCGGUGGUGUGGCAGCUGGUAAACACUCUUUGCCCCUAGCGCUCUCCAAAUUUCCUCUAGGUAUCUGAAUCCUAGUUGCGGGCGCGUGCUGCGGAUAGUAUGUGUGGAUGGCACCAAGCUAAGAGGCAUAAGUGCUGUGAUUGAUGAUGGGCUCAAGAUUUAAAAUAAAUGCCAUAAGCUGGAAGAUGGUCUCAAAUCAAUAACACAGAAUGUGCCAGUAAAUGCAAAGCAUUGCAUUUAGGGUCAGUAAUCAAUUGUGCAAAAAUAGAAUGGAAGACCUACAAAACAAUAGUUUAUGAAAAAGCAAAAUGGUUUUUGGUUGGCAAUUGGUUCAAUAUGAG